CUCUACAAUAUUACAUUGCAACUUGCAAGAUUGUAACAUUGCUGCAAUGUAAUUGCAAUGUUCUGUGCUGUAUGGGCUGAAACAAUAGCAUCUAUGGUAUCACCUUCUCAUGAUAAUAAUCUAGAAAAUAUUCAGCCUAGUAAUAAAAAGAAUGUAAAGGAAAGAUUAUCAGCUGAAGAAGAGGAAAUAUUAGACACUCAA